CUCAGUUCAAGUUUCAAAAAUGUAAACAUGAUGCACAGAUGAAGCUAGCCUAGAGCAUUACCAGAAGCUAGGGAUGUGACAGGAAACCCAUACUGAAGUUAUUGGCACUACUCUCGUCUGUUCCAAUCCUCUCUUUUUUAUGUUAUUGUGGGCUCAAGUUGUUUGCCUUUUUGGUAGUGGAAUUCUACAAUUUAUCUCGCAUUUAAAACACUUGGAGAGUGGAUUUGUCAUUGAACCUUAAACUCAAGGAGUAGAUAAGCUUAUUAACUAACCGCUGUAGUGUCAUGCUUAUUUUAUGAGCUCUGGUGAAGUGUGAAAAAUAUCGCUACUAUGAUCGUAGGCGAAAUAGAUUGUUGUCUUUGUCUAGUUUCUUAGUCUGGAGAUGUACCCGCUUACAGCCAAGGAUCACUUCAGAGUAAUAAAUAAGUAAAUCAUGCUGAUCUUAAGCAAGAUGCACUAUGAGUAAUGAAUCAUUCGGAUUAUGAGAUGCAGUUCAAUGAACACCCUUUUUAUGUGAGAAAAUGCACCGUCUGAUUUUUAAAGCUUAAACCUCAUGAGUAAGGAUGGUUGUGAUUUUAUUUCCACUUGUUCUACUUUUUUAUUGGGAAAUGACAUUGGAUAAAUUUUGCAACUGUUUUGAUGUGGUUGCUGCCAAUGUUUUGCCUUAAAGAUUGGUGAACAACAAAGCUAAACUGCUCAAGUAAUAUGAUCCAGGGGCAUGCCUCUGGGAUCCACUAGUGUAUCUAGUUUUUUAGCGGAAAGUGUAUGGAAGUGAUGCUCUCGUUGGUUGUCUUUGCUUUAGAAUCAUAUGGACAUGUGUUUAGAUAAGGCGAGUAACUAUUUUACUAUGUCUGAUUGGUAGUGGAUGAAUGUAGUACAGCGGUGACAUGCUUCAAGCACUAAUUGUUUUCUGUGUGAUAAUACACUAUCCAGUUUCCUGUUUCCAUCUCGUUGAUAGCACUGUUUUUUUCCGACUAUAAGCAACUUUCCUAGAUGUUUCACUAAUUUGCAAUUUAAUCAAAUAUGGUUUCUCCUAAAUAUGAUGUAUGGAGAUGAUAUGUUCUGCAUUGUGUGAGUAUUGGGCCUGAUUUGAUUCAACAUUUGCGCAUGCAGUACUUAUAUCAAGUCUAUUAAUCUCGGCCUUGGUUAAUUGUGUACAGAAGCAAGUCAGUGAACUGGAAAAUAGAAGCAUUUUAUUCUUAUAUCGGACAGCUGCAGUUGCAAACUUUGAAGAAAGAAAAUGUUCAUGAUAUUGUGAUUCUACAAACAUAUGGCCUUUUCUUUUGCAAUCUUGAAGGCCCGUUCAGGUUCAAUUUACAGUAAAGGCGAGAAAGCAUCCUGAAGGCAGACAUUCGUGUCUCUCAUUAGUGGAGUUGCUGGUAUCUGGGGAUUCACGGGUCCGAUGUGUUUUGUCUUCUACUUUCUGAUAAUGAUGGUAGCAUCUAUUGGGCUCUUGGCAAAGUCAAAGUUCUCAGUCCACUUGUACUUCGAUUGUUGGAGCAGGAGUUUGGUCAAAGGAGUUUUUGGCGGCCUUUGAUGUGAAGCACGACAGUGACGGUGGUGGGCCGCCUUUGCUUUGAGUGCCAAUGAGACGGCGGGGUUGUCGCCCCGUAACCUCAGCGUUGGCUCCUAUGACUGACUUGUUUACCACUACGUAGAUGUGAAGCAUGACAGUGACGGUGGUGGGCCGACUUGCUUCCAGCGCCAAUGACAUGGUGGGGCUGUCGCCCAGCAACCUCAGCGUUGGCUCCCACGACUGACUUGGUUACCACUACUUAGGAUGAUGUCGCUGCCACCUGGAAUUUGGUCACUUGCAUCUUUUCCAGCAAGUUUGACAACAAUGGGCUAUUCAUAGUAAUGCAAAUGCUACAUCUUAUCCUUUAAUACUCACGGUGCUUUAUUUAAGAUGUGAAGCUUGACAGUGACAAUGGUGCGCCGCCUUUCUUCUGGCGCCGACGAGACGGUGGGGUUGAAACCCCGUAACCUCGGCGUCGCCUCCCCACUAUUGUCUCAUCUACUUACACGAGUCCCUGGUCUCCCCUUUCUCCUACGUCUGCUAUGCGCUGGCUGUCAAGUCGAUGAUCUAGUGCCUUUGAUCUGGCGCAUGGUUGCCAUGUUGAGGCUUACCGAUUUGUUCUCUAUUACUGAUCAUGGCUUGGGUUUGUGGAUGACUAGGCUCUGUUUAACAACUGGAUGUCAUGGUUAUUAUCUAUGUUGAUGCCAGAAUGUGGGGCAGUUGUUCACUUUGGCUUGCCAAAUAAUCUUAGAUAUCUCAACAGUGCUAUUCUGCUCAUGCCUCAUCAUGCUACUGUUUGAUAAGAAUCAAUCUUGGGCAAGAACAAUAACAUCAUGUCCGUUGCUUGGUUGUGGUUUAUGUAUUUAUAUUUUAGUCAUAGAUGUGCUAUAUGGUUUUCUGAGAUACCUAUGGCAUGGUUGAUAGAUAUAGAUCGUAAUAGACAGUAUCUUAGCAUCUGCUGGUGUUAACAUAUACAAAUAUCUUUAGCUUAGUAUCUGCUGGUAUUCCAUGGUUUUUCCAUAGAUUUUUUGCUAUGGUGCGGGGCGAGCGACAAUGACAACUUAGUGUCAUAAUAUGGCCCAUUGCUUGGUGUUGCUGCCAUAGAGAUAGAUGAUGAUAGUGUCGUUACCUCCAAAAGUUUAAAUCUGAGCCUGUUGUUCUGGGUUUGCUGCUGAAUGUGGUGUUGUUCUGGUGGUGUGGAUCAGUUCCGGUUAGUUGCCUGAUGGGUUAUUGUUUUGUUGGGUGCUAGAUCUUACCUCGUUUUGUAUUUAAGUACUGUCUUUUUGAAACUCAAGGUCCUUCUUGCUCCUCUGCAGGCCAGGCCACUACAGGAGAGGUGCAUCGAUGACCCGACACUAUUCAGACUCACUUGAAGAAGGACGGACUGGUGAACACCCAUUGUUGGUGAUGAGUACCAGAUUAGAUUCAUCAGCUUUCUUAGCUUGUCGUGUUAUUGGGUUGGCAGCAUAUGAUGGCCUGGUUGCUGCUUCCUUGGAGCAGUCCAGCGGCCACAACAUUGGUGCCAUGGACGCCACAUGGACUUGGGCCAUGACAACUGUGUCGUCCGUGUCUACGCCUGCGCAACUGCCUGCCUUCGUUCUGGCCAGGGGACUAUAUAAGAGAGAUGCGUCGAUGACCCAUGACUACUCAGACUCGCUUGAUGAAGGAUGAUGUGGUGAACCCCCAUCGUCAGUGAUGUGUAACCAGAUUAGAUGCACCGGUUAACUUGUGUUAGCUUCGUUUUUCCGAGAAAGGUUUGGCAGGAUGAUUUGGACUUUACCCAGUACAUUACUGAAUGAAUUGAAAAGUGUCAUUCCUUUUCAUCUGGAGUGCAUGAAGGGAUCAUCCUGAUUUGCUUGUGUUGGCAAG